UCCAGAUGUUUCUAACAUGCAUUUGAUAGCAUGAACAAGGUUUUCAGACGAAAACGGCGAUUAACAUUGGCGUCGAGGUUGUAGACAAAAGUAAUCCAAAUGCAAACUGACGAGAAUAGUUGGCAACUCGUGGUUACACUUGCACUCGUUUACCAAGGAACCGGUAUCGUGCAUCUUUCAAUGUGCAUAUAUGUACUCGAGCGAUUUUUUACACACGACGAAUCAUGUAGCCCGCAAUCGAACACGAGACAAGAGUAUUCCAUGGCGUUUCCGUAAAUUGGUCACGCUUUGAUUGUUUAUUAAUUUUUGCAGGGUGUAAUUAUCGCAAUUGUAUUAAUGCCGUUUAAUUUAAUUACAUAUAAGGAACCUCCAGUGUGUCUACGGUAACAGUUAUAAAACGACAAGUUUAUUAAUCUACAAUUUAUGAGAGCCGCGUAAAUUGAGUUUCUCUUGAUCUGUCAUCGGUAAAUCAAAAGCUUGAUCCAAAACCUUUACGAUUCGUGUACGCUGACUAUUUAUCACGAGUAUCCCCUAUCCUGGUGACCUCGAAAUUUGUUAUCCUUUGACGAAAUCGAGCGUGCAUCAGCGGACAGGAAUUUUAAGUCGGCCAUCGAUAUGGAUGAAAACGACGACGGGGGGUUACGUUGCGAGGAGGAAAGAGAGGCAGGAAGAUGAUCGGUGGCCCAUUUUUUUAGAAAGGAAACAGGCACGGGUUACAGUUAAGCAGCCGUACUAGCCGCCGUUCAGUUUUCAAUGAGCAGCAUUCCUGACGGCCGGCCAACUACAGCUGCUCACCUGGAAACCCUUCAAGAACUUGUUUCAGUUAUAUUCGGUUCCUACGCGGAAGUGCGGGCGAAACACCUGAGCGAACUUGCUUCCUUCUACGAGUCACGAAAGCCGGGCCUCUAUCCUUCCUCUUGGACACACUGGCAUCGUAGG